GACGAACGCUGGCGGCGUGCCUAAUACAUGCAAGUUGAGCGCUGAAGGUUGGUACUUGUACCAACUGGAUGAGCAGCGAACGGGUGAGUAACGCGUGGGGAAUCUGCCUUUGAGCGGGGGACAACAUUUGGAAACGAAUGCUAAUACCGCAUAAAAACUUUAAACACAAGUUUUAAGUUUGAAAGAUGCAAUUGCAUCACUCAAAGAUGAUCCCGCGUUGUAUUAGCUAGUUGGUGAGGUAAAGGCUCACCAAGGCGAUGAUACAUAGCCGACCUGAGAGGGUGAUCGGCCACAUUGGGACUGAGACACGGCCCAAACUCCUACGGGAGGCAGCAGUAGGGAAUCUUCGGCAAUGGACGAAAGUCUGACCGAGCAACGCCGCGUGAGUGAAGAAGGUUGUCGGGUCGUAAAACUCGGUUGGUAGAGAAGAACGUUGGUGAGAGUGGAAAGCUCAUCAAGUGACGGUAACUACCCGGAAAGAGACGGCUAACUACGUG
rnacentral:rRNA from 1 species